GCAUAAGCAGUUCAUGCUGUGCUGCUUGUGUAUAACAAGCCGACCAGAAGCACGGCUAACACGGCAGUACUACUGUUCUUUGUAUAAAGGUAUUUGAUUAUGAUGGAUUCCAUUUGAUUAGUCAUGCAAAGAUAUCUUCGUUUAUUUUUGACACUUGACAUUGUUGAUGGAGACGUUGCCAAUAAUUGCAUGCCUCGUCAGUUAUCCAAAAU
rnacentral:misc_RNA from 1 species